rnacentral:rRNA from 1 species
UACGUAGGGUGCGAGCGUUAAUCGGAAUUACUGGGCGUAAAGCGUGCGCAGGCGGUUUUGUAAGUCAGAGGUGAAAUCCCCGGGCUCAACCUGGGAAUGGCAUUGGAUACUGGCGACCUAGAGUGCGGUAGAGGGGUGUGGAAUUCCCGGUGUAGCAGUGAAAUGCGUAGAUAUCGGGAGGAACACCGGUGGCGAAGGCGGCGAUCUGGGUCGAUACUGACGCUGAGGUGCGAAAGCGUGGGGAGCAAACAGG